AGUGAACGCUGGCGGUAGGCCUAACACAUGCAAGUCGAACGGCAGCACAGUAAGAGCUUGCUCUUACGGGUGGCGAGUGGCGGACGGGUGAGGAAUACAUCGGAAUCUACUUUUUCGUGGGGGAUAACGUAGGGAAACUUACGCUAAUACCGCAUACGACCUACGGGUGGAAGCAGGGGAUCUUCGGACCUUGCGCGAUUGAAUGAGCCGAUGUCGGAUUAGCUAGUUGGCGGGGUAAAGGCCCACCAAGGCGACGAUCCGUAGCUGGUCUGAGAGGAUGAUCAGCCACACUGGAACUGGGACACGGUCCAGACUACUACGGGAGGGAGCAGUGGGGAACAUGGGACAAUGGGCGCAAGCCUGAUCCAGCCAUACCGCGUGGGUGAAGAAGGCCUUCGGGUUGUAAAGCCCUUUUGUUGGGAAAGAAAAGCAGCAGGUUAAUACCCCGCUGUUCUGACGGUACCCAAAGAAUAAGCACCGGCUAACUUCGUG
rnacentral:rRNA from 1 species